AGUAUGGAGGAAUGUCAGAGAGGAGAGGCAGAAAUGGGAGGGUGGGGGAACACCCUUAUAGAAGCAGGUGGAAGGGGAUAGGAUAGAGGCUUGCUUUAUGGAUGUGAAACAGGGAAGGGGAUAAUAUUUAAAAUGUAAAUGAAAUAUAUCCAAUAAAAAAUAGAAAGGAAAAUAGAAAAGACUGAGAUGGCAGAAUUUAAACUUUUCAGUUUUCAGGAAAGAGACAGGUUUUUUCACCUUUUUAUGUGAUUCAGUUUGAUCUUUGUAUUUAUCAGAAUAUGUAAAAGCAGACCAGGUCCUUUAUUUUAAGUUUUCCUUGAUGCAAAUUCAGCAUGAUUUUAGAUGCAGUUUCUAAAUAAUGUUUCACAAAUUAAAACAAUGAGAGGAAAUCUACUUGCUAGCCCAGUUGUAAUCCACAAAUCUGGAGUAUGGUUGUUUAAAUGCUUGCAUGAUAUAGCAUGUUAUAUAGCUUAGAUAAUAUCACUCUAAUUUGUAUAUUCUGUAUUAAUUAUAUAUCAUGAAGUUAUAUUCUUUCAUGAAAGGUUAUUUUGUCCUUAUAAUAUAGGAAUCAAGAAAAAAGAUUCAUCCCGUGGGAGGGAGAGCUUGACCUUCAGAGGGGCCAGCACUCCUAGGAAACAAGAGGAUUCUAUUCUCUUCCCUCGUAUCUGACUCAAGAGGAAAACACCUAGAGCCAUCACGGUCACCUGCACAAAGGAACCCAGAAAUAGGGGCAGGCCCUUCUGUUUCCUGUCCUUACGGAUAGCUGAAACUCUGCCCUAUGGGGCAACUUUAGUCCUGAGACCAGAGUGACACUAUGAAGUUCCCUUUAUUGUAAUAUUUUAAUAUAUCCAUGACUUUUAUGUCUACCAUCUCGCAUGGUGGUCACUGAAACCUUUCCGUGCACAAAUACAGAAUAUUUUCACUAUCUCAUUCUAAGAAGUCACUCAGCAGAAGCAAUGCAGAGAUAAUGGAAGGGAAGCCUAGAGAAGAGCAGAAGCAUUAAGGAACAUCUGAUCUUUGAGUGAUGGCUAAAGAAGUCACUCAUGAUCCUGGAUGUUUCUAUUAUGAGAGUCCUACAUCUUCAAAAUAUAUUACCUUCUUUUCCCAAGGAACUCUCCGUCUCAUCCUCUGCCAGAUUCUCACAAGCAUUGAAGCCUGUUUUCUGAGAUGUGUGAGAAUGCCAGUAACUCUUUUGACGACUUCAACUAUUGUGCUGAUUGUUUUGUUUGAGGGCUGAACAUGAGUUUUAUCUAUACCGAACCAGAAGAUUGGAUCUUUGAAGAAGCAAUUUGUCAGAGCAGGAAACUGUGGAGAAUUUCUUAACUAUUAUCCACAUGAGCUUUUAUCAUUGCUAAGAUCAAGGUAACUGAGUAGCUAAUGCUCAGAAUUGCUGUUUGCCUUUAAAAGUACAUAUGUUGUAGAGUGUUUAACAUUUCAGAUAGAAUCCAUUAAUUAACUGCUUAUAAGAACAUUUAUGACCAUCAUUUGUUGAAAAAUUCCAUAACAAACAAA